ACAGAGCCAUCGCUUCGGCGUAACUCUGUCAUGGUCGCGCGAAUAUUCACCCAUGUUUUUGCGUACUUCUUGUUUCCUUGGUGGGCUCGCCCGCCAUAGGACAACCAUUAAACCUUUUGUAAUUGCAGUCAGCGUCAGUAAAAUGUAAUCGUUACAACUUUCAACAACGGAUCUCUUGGUUCUGGCAUCGAUGAAGAACGCAGCGAAAUGCGAUAAGUAGUGUGAAUUGCAGAAUUCAGUGAAUCAUCGAAUCUUUGAACGCACAUUGCGCCCAUUGGUAUUCCAAUGGGCAUGCCUGUUCGAGCGUCAUUUGUACCCUCAAGCUUUGCUUGGUGUUGGGCGUUUGUCUUUCGAGACUCGCCUUAAAAAGAUUGGCAGCCGGCAUACUGGUUUCGGAGCGCAGCACAAAUUGCGGUCUGUUCCUGAAUGUUGACGUCCAUGAAGCCCCCAUUAUCACUUUUGACCUCGGAUCAGGUAGGGAUACCCGCUGAACUUAAGCAUAUCAAUAAGCGGAGGAAAAGAAACCAACAGGGAUUGCCUCAGUAACGGCGAGUGAAGCGGCAUCAGCUCAAAUUUGAAAUCUGGCUCUUUUAGAGUCCGAGUUGUAAUUUGCAGAGGGCGCUUUGGCAUAGGCAGCGAUUCAAGUUCCUUGGAACAGGACGUCACAGAGGGUGAGAAUCCCGUACGUGGUCGCUAGCUCUUGCCGUGUAAAGCCCCUUCGACGAGUCGAGUUGUUUGGGAAUGCAGCUCUAAAUGGGAGGUAAAUUUCCUCUAAAGCUAAAUAUUGGCCAGAGACCGAUAGCGCACAAGUAGAGUGAUCG
rnacentral:rRNA from 1 species